AUGCCGGUGCUGCUGAAGUCGAAGCUGGAGCCAUUUCAGACGAGGGUCAGCUACCCCCCGGGUGCCCUGGCUCUGCAAGGCUCCAGCUUCACCUUCAGCAGCGCCUACAUCAACUGGGUGCGACAGGCGCCCGGGAAGAGGCUCAAGGGGGUCGUGGGUAUUCACCAUGAAGGUCUUGGAACAUCCUACGUGCCGGGGGUGCAAGGACGCUUCACCGUCUCCAAGGACAACUCCCGGAGCACGGUCACGCUGCAGAUGAACAGCCUGAAGGUCGAAGACACGGCCACCUACUACUGCGCGAAACGUGCUGGCGAUUGUG